UUCGCUCCUAAAAAUAAAGAGAAAAAAGAACAGUAUCCAGUGUGCGGUGUUUAAUGAACUUUUCAUAUUUGAUCACGUUUUCCUGCCUAACACCUGCACCUGGAAAGCUGAAGGGUUGUGCACAAGGACUUUCAUGCACUUUGAUCUUUGGGUGCUCCUGGUUUGGGCUUUUUUCAGGUUCAUACGCGCUGCAUCAUAAUUGGCUGUUGAAGACAACAAUGAAGUCUCAUCUGGCAUAGCGCUUUGGAUGACUGCAACUUUCGUCUGCUUGGUGUCUUUAUACGGUGGCCAAAAAGACACCUUGCCAUCCAAACUUAGCCACGAGCAAGGCACAAC